rnacentral:rRNA from 1 species
AGACGCACUCGUGUCAGCAGCCGCGGUGAUACGGAGGGUGCAAGCGUUAUCCGGAUUUAUUGGGUUUAAAGGGUCCGUAGGCGGAUCUGUAAGUCAGUGGUGAAAUCUCAUAGCUUAACUAUGAAACUGCCAUUGAUACUGCAGGUCUUGAGUAAAGUAGAAGUGGCUGGAAUAAGUAGUGUAGCGGUGAAAUGCAUAGAUAUUACUUAGAACACCAAUUGCGAAGGCAGGUCACUAUGUUUUAACUGACGCUGAUGGACGAAAGCGUGGGGAGCGAACAGGAUUAGAUACCCUGGUAGUCCACGCCGU